CCCUUAGAUGUUCUGGGCCGCACGCGCGCCACACUGAUGCAUUCAACAAGUUCUACCUUGGCCGAGAGGCCUGGGAAAUCUUUCAAAUAUGUAUCGUGAUAGGGAUAGAUUAUUGCAAUUAUUAAUCUUGAACGAGGAAUUCCUAGUAAAUGCAGAUCAUCAUUCUGCGUUGAUUACGUCCCUGCCCUUUGUACACACCGCCCGUCGCACCUACCGAUUGAAUGAUCCGGUGAAGCCUCGGGAUUGUGCCCAGAGAACUUUAUUGUGAUUUGGGUGUGAGAACUUGUCUAAACCUUAUCAUUUAGAGGAAGGUGAAGUCGUAACA
rnacentral:rRNA from 1 species